rnacentral:tRNA from 1 species
GGAUUGUGGCUCAGUGGCAGAGCACUUGCCUAGCACAUGCAAGGCCCUGGGUUUGAUCCUCAGCACCA